GGUAAUGCCGGAUGCUCCAGUUGAUCGCAUGGUCUUCUGGGAAAGCUUUCGCGGUAUGGGAUGGGGUCGCGUCCUAUCAGCUUGACGGCGGGGUAACGGCCCACCGUGGCUUCGACGGGUAGCCGGCCUGAGAGGGCGACCGGCCACAUUGGGACUGAGAUACGGCCCAGACUCCUACGGGAGGCAGCAGUGGGGAAUAUUGCACAAUGGGCGCAAGCCUGAUGCAGCGACGCCGCGUGAGGGAUGGAGGCCUUCGGGUUGUAAACCUCUUUUAUCGGGGAGCAAGCGAGAGUGAGUUUACCCGUUGAAUAAGCACCGGCUAACUACGUGCCAGCAGCCGCGGUAAUACGUAGGGUGCAAGCGUUAUCCGGAAUUAUUGGGCGUAAAGGGCUCGUAGGCGGUUCGUCGCGUCCGGUGUGAAAGUCCAUCGCUUAACGGUGGAUCCGCGCCGGGUACGGGCGGGCUUGAGUGCGGUAGGGGAGACUGGAAUUCCCGGUGUAACGGUGGAAUGUGUAGAUAUCGGAAAA
rnacentral:rRNA from 1 species